CCGCUAGAUGAUGAAGAACUCAUCGCAUACAUCGUCAACGGGUUGGAUUUAGAAUUCAAUCCCGUGGUGUCGGCGCUCGUCACAAGGGUGGAACUGAUCUCGUUUACUGAGCUCUACUCCCAGCUGCUCAGUUUCGAGA
rfam:Setaria italica strain Yugu1 chromosome VII, whole genome shotgun sequence.